rnacentral:rRNA from 1 species
GACGAACGCUGGCGGCGUGCUUAACACAUGCAAGUCGAGCGGUAAGGCCCUUUCGGGGGUACGACGAGCGGCGAACGGGUAGAGUAACACGUGGGUGACCCUGCCCUCCAGCUCUGGGAGUAAGCCUGGGAAACCGGGGUCUAAUACCGGAUAUGACUCCAUGACGCAUGUUGUUGGGGUGGAAAGCCUUGUGCGGCUGAGGAUGGGCCCGCGGCCUAUCAGCUUGUUGGUGGGGUGAGGCCUACCAAGGCGACGACGGGUAGCCGGCCUGAGAGGGCGACCGGCCACACUGGGACUGAGACACGGCCCAGACUCCUACGGGAGGCAGCAGUGGGGAAGUCUUGCGCAAUGGGCGAAAGCCUGACGCAGCGACGCCGCGUGAGGGAUGACGGCCUGGUUGUAA